CCGCACAUCAGAAUGGGACAUGGAGCUUUGCAAAGACCUUAACUGUUUUGUGACUCUGUGAAACCAUAAAGGAGAAUGAGCUUCGGAGGCUUCUGACCCUUAUUCUGAUGCUGGUGUAGAAAGCAGCUCAAAACAAAUCCACUGAAGACUGAACAGCAACAAAAUACUGGAAAGCAUUGCAAGGUGACAGUUAUUGGAAACCCACUGGAAGCAACGGUUCUUCUGCCUCUGACCUCAAAGCACAUUUGACCAGAAACCUGAAGGUAGCAUGAAUGUGGUAGUUUGUUUUUUUCCCUGGCAAGGACCCACAGCUCUGCUCUGGCUUGGAGGCUUGGAGGGGUGGACAAAUGCCAGGAGCCAUCCACUGUGGCUGUCUGCCAGGAGGAUGCAGAGGGGAGCAAUAAGAGAGCAGCUGGUCUCCAGGCACCUACAGAGACUUCUGAAAUUUCUCUCCUCAUCUUACUUGAUCACAGCAGUCGUCUCACCUCAGUCUUGCCUUUAUGGUGAGAUUAAUUUAUCCUUCCAACUCAUGUGCCUGUGA
rnacentral:lncRNA from 1 species